UUCAAAGGAUUUAACCCAAACAGAGUUUUGUAGAAGUGGUUUCUUGAUCCAAACAAAGAAUUGCAUAACAAAAUAAUUAACUAAAACUAGUUUCCCUAGAAUUUCUCCUAAAACUGUUUUUCUAAAGACCCAACUUAAAUUCUCCUAAUCCAAACAACCACUGAUGUCCCUACUCAGGUUCUUCUUCCUUCCACAUCGUGCCUUUUCGGUGGCCAUGAGCUGGUAACAAAUAUAGCUCGGAAGCGGGAGAAGCCUGGAUACAUGUUCUACUAAUUUAUUUCAAGUCAUGUUGAUCUCCCCCACAGAUUUCUGAUUUGGCUUUCUUGUUCCACCAGUCACGCGGAUGCCCUUUCUUCAAGUCCCAGGAUGUGUAUGGUCGUAGGCUCACUUCGGUUCAGACCGCCGGGCACAGGCGCUACCCGGUGUUCAGCAAGCCAACCGAGCCGCUCAGCUGGUUCCUGACUCCCUGUUGCGAAUCAAAUCAGUUGCCACAUGCACAAACAUAUACAUUUGCUAUGCCAACAACUGCUGGAUCUGCAAGGAUACAAGCAAAAAUAGCACCCUACAGGAUGCCAGUAUCUGAAGCAAUUUGUAAAAUAGCACCAUGUCUGCUUAGCUGCAAUCUACUCUAUCAUAACGUCAUGGUGGUUCAGAUGAAAAUGUAAGUGAGAACAUCACCUAAAAGUCCAUCAUGGUGCCUCCGGGUUAACCUUUAAUGUGGAUUGUGCGGACUGAGCCGGGGUAGCAUUCUUCCUUCGACGGACCUCACCUCCUGCUCUUCACUGGCUGCGGCCACCGACCUCUUGCACACAGCCGGACGCGCAGUUCGAAUCCUCCAGCACUGUCGGCUUCGCCUCGUGUGGUGGCAACAGGACUAGGGGCACUGGAUAUGGAUGUUCCAGGCUGUUUGGUCAACUCCUUCUGAAGGGGAAACCUGAGAAAAUACACAGGAAUCAAUGGCGGCGGCCAACCUAAAUCAACAAACAACUACCUGGCAGUAAGGACUACAGGUUGUCAAAUGAGGAAGGGGAAGAGCAGUACACGGGUUCGGAGCGAGAUAGUGCAUAGCAAACAUAUAGCAAUCAGCAAAAUCUCUACUGACAGUGUGCAGCUACCUACAACAUAUUUUAGUUUGCACGAGCGCACUACACGACUACAACAUUGUAAGCAGUGCCUAGCAAAUCAGCAUGAACCAUUUCUGAGAAAUUGUGCAGCUAGUUGACGCAACAGAUUCAGAUGUUAUACCUCUUAGACCAACAAGGGGCAUGAGGGUCGACCCUGUCCGUUAACUGCGGAUGCUGUCGGCGAAGCCCCUCGACGACGCCGCUCGCUGCAGUUCGCCCUCUCAGUACCACCGCCGCCAAUUUGCUGCCCGCAUCCAGAUCCAACAUUCGAGUCCGCCUGAACCGCAGGGUUAGCUUGGUCUGUCGUCAACAACGCCAAAGGUACCGGAUCUGGAUUUUCAAGGCUGUCCUCGAACUCCUCCUUGAGAGGGAAC
rnacentral:lncRNA from 1 species